rnacentral:rRNA from 1 species
GAUGAACGCUGGCGGCGUGCUUAACACAUGCAAGUCGAACGGUGAAGGCGGAGCUUGCUCUGCUGGAUCAGUGGCGAACGGGUGAGUAACACGUGAGCAAUCUGCCCCUGACUCUGGGAUAAGCGCUGGAAACGGCGUCUAAUACUGGAUACGAGCUGCGAAGGCAUCUUCAGCAGCUGGAAAGAACUUCGGUCAGGGAUGAGCUCGCGGCCUAUCAGCUUGUUGGUGAGGUAACGGCUCACCAAGGCGUCGACGGGUAGCCGGCCUGAGAGGGUGACCGGCCACACUGGGACUGAGACACGGCCCAGACUCCUACGGGAGGCAGCAGUGGGGAAUAUUGCACAAUGGGCGAAAGCCUGAUGCAGCAACGCCGCGUGAGGGACGACGGCCUUCGGGUUGUAAACCUCUUUUAGCAGGGAAGAAGCGAAAGUGACGGUACCUGCAGAAAAAGCGCCGGCGAACUACGU